AGAGUGAACGCUGGCGGUAGGCCUAACACAUGCAAGUCGAACGGCAGCACGGUAAGAGCUUGCUCUUAUGGGUGGCGAGUGGCGGACGGGUGAGGAAUACAUCGGAAUCUACCUUUUGGUGGGGGAUAACGUAGGGAAACUUACGCUAAUACCGCAUACGCCCUUCGGGGGAAAGCCGGGGACCAGCGAAUGGCCUGGUGCUGAUAGAUGAGCCGAUGUCGGAUUAGCUAGUUGGUGAGGUAAUGGCUCACCAAGGCGACGAUCCGUAGCUGGUCUGAGAGGAUGAUCAGCCACACUGGAACUGGAGACACGGU
rnacentral:rRNA from 1 species